GCCCUCGUAGCUCAUUUGGAUAGAGCGACUCCCUUCUAAGGAGUAGGUAGGAGGUUCGAAUCCUCCCGGGGGCACAA
rnacentral:tRNA from 1 species